rnacentral:misc_RNA from 1 species
GAAAUGCGAUAAGUAGUGUGAAUUGCAGAAUUCAGUGAAUCAUCGAAUCUUUGAACGCACAUUGCGCCCCUUGGUAUUCCAUGGGGCAUGCCUGUUCGAGCGUCAUUUGCACCCUCAAGCUUUGUUUGGUGUUGGGCGUGUUGUCCUCAUUGGAGGACUCGCCUUAAAACAAUUGGCAGCCGGCAUAUUGGUAUCGGAGCGCAGCACAAGUCGCACUUCGUUCCAUGAAUGUUGGCGUCCAUCAAGACCCUUUUUUCACUCUUGAACUCGGAUCAGGUAGGGAUACCCGCUGAACUUAA